rnacentral:lncRNA from 1 species
AUUUUUAGUAGAGAUGGGGUUUCACCGUGUUAGGCAGGAUGGUCUAACACUGACCUCGUGAUCCGCCCACCUCGCCCUCCCAAAGUGCUGGGAUUACAGGUGUGAGCCACCACGCCCAGCCGACUUUUUUUAUAUAAGAGGAAGGAGUUAUCUAAUGAUAAUAAUAUAGUAAAUACAUAAACGCGUAAAUGGUUGUUUAUUAAAUAUCACGUACUAUACAUAAUUGUAUGUGUUAUACUUUUAUGACUGGCAGCACAGUAGGUGUGUUUACACCAGUAUCACCACAAACAAGUAA